GGAUAGCAAACGUACCACUGUCAACGCGCAAAGCUCGCAAAAGCCAGAUCGGUCGUUUUACUAAAACAGAACUGCUUUUAGUAAUGUGUCUCUGCUCUCAGGUGUGAUGAUUUCGGCUUUUGUAAAAAUAUCAGCUGUAAUUACAAUCUCAACUCUGGUCACAGUGACGUUUGUGACUUUGUAAAAAUUGGCAGCCUUAUUGUCAGAAUUUUACUCUAAAUCGAAAUUGCAAAUCGAAACUGCUUGGAAAUGGUAUUUUAGGUAAAAAAGCAGAGACCCGUUUGAAGGAAGAUGUGAGCCUACGACCUAUGUAUAAGCAUGAAAAGGUCGAGUUUGGAGCUAAUUCAAAGGCUUUUAGUACGAGGGUUGGUUGAAAAGUUCCUUUGGGAUCAAACCGCCGCACUGAUCUGAAUAUAGAAAAUGAAUAUUAAAAAUAGAAGAUAAAAAGAAUCUUACAAAUCCAUUUAGGGAUAUAAUAAUGGAGUACGAAAUAGACUGAAUAGACGGAGAAAAGUGCCUCAGAGAACAUAUAAAUUUAAUCUAAAAUCAGCUUUACCAGUACCGAUGAAUCAGAAACGCAAUUGAAAAGAUCACUCGAAUUGAAUAAGAAAUGGAUUUUCUAAAAAAAUAGUCUUCGCUGAAUUAUCCUCCCAGCAACCGAAUGUAUAAAGUAUUAACCCGAAAUUAUACUGGAAUUAGUUUUAUUUAUGUUCUUAAAGUUAAUACCUGAAAUUUUAUAAGUUUUUUUAAAGAAUCCGUUUUUUAGUACUUGUUUACAGUGAAGGUUUGAACCACUUUUUGAGUUUUUUAUCAGAUACUGUACCUGAAAGAGGUCUCAUUCAAUUACAAAAAAAUGAGUUCUGUAUACGCUUCGUAAUAUGCAAUAGAAUAUUUUAAGACGGUGGAAUGA